rnacentral:rRNA from 1 species
AACGAACGCUGGCGGCAUGCCUAACACAUGCAAGUCGAACGAGACCUUCUGGUCUAGUGGCGCACGGGUGCGUAACGCGUGGGAACCUGCCCUUAGGUUCGGAAUAACUCCCCGAAAGGGGUGCUAAUACCGGAUAAUGUCUUCGGACCAAAGAUUUAUCGCCUUUGGAUGGGCCCGCGUUGGAUUAGCUAGUUGGUAGGGUAAAAGCCUACCAAGGCGACGAUCCAUAGCUGGUCUGAGAGGAUGAUCAGCCACACUGGGACUGAGACACGGCCCAGACUCCUACGGGAGGGAGCAGUGGGGAAUAUUGGACAAUGGGAGAAAGCCUGAGACAGCAAUGGCGCGUGAGUGAUGAAGGCAUUAGGGUUGUAAAGCUCUUUUACCCGGGAUGAUAAUGACAGUACCGGGAGAAUAAGCUCCGGCUAACUCCGUG